GGUGCAAACUUGAAGUAGAGUACAUUAGUAGGGUCAGAUGAUCGUACUGAUUGACUCUUCUUCAAAUUUGGACCC
rfam:Haemonchus placei strain MHpl1 genome assembly, scaffold: HPLM_scaffold0000435